GGCGGCGCGCGCGGCCCUUGCGCGGACGGCGUUAGUGAAGACUCUGCGCCCGCAGCCGCUGCCGGCGAAGAUGCUGGCGAUGGCGCUGCUGGGCAUGGCGGCCAACGUCCCCCUCGGCGUGUGGAGGGAGCACACGCGCAAGUUCUCCCCGCAGUGGUUCGCCGCCGUCCACGCCGCCGUGCCCUUCAUCGCCAUGCUCAGGAAGUCCGUACUGAUGCCCAAGACCGCGAUGGCCAUCACCAUCGCCGCCUCUAUCCUCGGCCAGACCAUCGGCUCCCGGGCCGAGCGCCUCCGCCUGAAGGCCGUCGCCGCCGCCUCGUCUC
rnacentral:lncRNA from 1 species